CAAUUUAAACAACGAAGAGUUUGAUCCUGGCUCAGGAUGAACGCUAGCGACAGGCUUAACACAUGCAAGUCGAGGGGCAGCGGGGUGUAGCAAUACACCGCCGGCGACCGGCGCACGGGUGAGUAACGCGUAUGCAACUUGCCUAUCAGAGGGGGAUAACCCGGCGAAAGUCGGACUAAUACCGCAUGAAGCAGGGAUCCCGCAUGGGAAUAUUUGCUAAAGAUUCAUCGCUGAUAGAUAGGCAUGCGUUCCAUUAGGCAGUUGGCGGGGUAACGGCCCACCAAACCGACGAUGGAUAGGGGUUCUGAGAGGAAGGUCCCCCACAUUGGUACUGAGACACGGACCAAACUCCUACGGGAGGCAGCAGUGAGGAAUAUUGGUCAAUGGCCGAGAGGCUGAACCAGCCAAGUCGCGUGAGGGAUGAAGGUUCUAUGGAUCGUAAACCUCUUUUAUAAGGGAAUAAAGUGCGGGACGUGUCCCGUUUUGUAUGUACCUUAUGAAUAAGGAUCGGCUAACUCCGUGCCAGCAGCCGCGGUAAUACGGAGGAUCCGAGCGUUAUCCGGAUUUAUUGGGUUUAAAGGGUGCGUAGGCGGCCUUUUAAGUCAGCGGUGAAAGUCUGUGGCUCAACCAUAGAAUUGCCGUUGAAACUGGGGGGCUUGAGUAUGUUUGAGGCAGGCGGAAUGCGUGGUGUAGCGGUGAAAUGCAUAGAUAUCACGCAGAACCCCGAUUGCGAAGGCAGCCUGCCAAGCCAUUACUGACGCUGAUGCACGAAAGCGUGGGGAUCAAACAGGAUUAGAUACCCUGGUAGUCCACGCAGUAAACGAUGAUCACUAGCUGUUUGCGAUACACUGUAAGCGGCACAGCGAAAGCGUUAAGUGAUCCACCUGGGGAGUACGCCGGCAACGGUGAAACUCAAAGGAAUUGACGGGGGCCCGCACAAGCGGAGGAACAUGUGGUUUAAUUCGAUGAUACGCGAGGAACCUUACCCGGGUUUGAACGCAUUCGGACCGAGGUGGAAACACCUUUUCUAGCAAUAGCCGUUUGCGAGGUGCUGCAUGGUUGUCGUCAGCUCGUGCCGUGAGGUGUCGGCUUAAGUGCCAUAACGAGCGCAACCCUUGCCACUAGUUACUAACAGGUUAGGCUGAGGACUCUGGUGGGACUGCCAGCGUAAGCUGCGAGGAAGGCGGGGAUGACGUCAAAUCAGCACGGCCCUUACAUCCGGGGCGACACACGUGUUACAAUGGCGUGGACAAAGGGAGGCCACCUGGCGACAGGGAGCGAAUCCCCAAACCACGUCUCAGUUCGGAUCGGAGUCUGCAACCCGACUCCGUGAAGCUGGAUUCGCUAGUAAUCGCGCAUCAGCCAUGGCGCGGUGAAUACGUUCCCGGGCCUUGUACACACCGCCCGUCAAGCCAUGGGAGCCGGGGGUACCUGAAGUCCGUAACCGAAAGGAUCGGCCUAGGGUAAAACUGGUGACUGGGGCUAAGUCGUAACAAG
rnacentral:rRNA from 1 species